rnacentral:rRNA from 1 species
CACGUAGGGCGCAAGCGUGUCCGGAAUUAUUGGGCGUAAAGAGCUCGUAGGCGGACUGUUGCGUCCGCUGUGAAAAGCUGGGGCUUAACCCUGGCCUUGCAGUGGAUACGGGCAGACUAGAGGUAGGUAGGGGAGAAUGAAUUCCCGGUGUAGCGGUGAAAUGCGCAGAUAUCAGGAGGAACACCGGUGGCGAAGGCGGGGUCUCUGGGCCGACACUGACGUGAGGAGCGAAAAGCGUGGGGGAGCGAACAGG